UAGGGAUACGUCACUUGUGUUAGGAAUCGUUUUAUAACCUAUCACAGUAAAGGAACGUCCCAGUAUAGCAGCCGAAGAAUGCCGUGAAAGUUUUUGCACAAAGUACAAUUGAUCUACAAUUGAUAUUUUCCGCAAUACUUAUCUGGUGUUUGGACAGGGUGUCCCAUACUCAUGAUAUUUAUGACAGUGGAAUGGCGUUAGUAAAUCAAUUACAAAAAUUUUCGAGAUCAAUUCUCGGUAUUGCAUCAAAUUAUUCAAAAUAUACAAGCAACACAACGUUGCCCUUUUUGCAGGCAACAAGAGGAAUAUCGACCACGCAACCACUUUCAUAAAAACAAGAAGUAAAUAUAACGUUUGUUAAAGCAAGUGGAGAGAGAAUCAAAGCAAAAGGGAAAGUUGGAGAUACUAUAUUAGACAUAGUAGUAAAUAAUGAAGUUGAUUUAGGUGGAUAUGGUGCUUGUGAAGGAACAUUAACUUGUAGUACGUGCCGUUUAAUAUUUUCGAAAGAAGUUUAUGAUGCACUUCCUGACAAACCAACAGAUGAAGAAUUAGACAUGUUGGAUUUAGCAUAUGAAUUAACAGAUACGUUAUAAUCAGUAAUAUUAAUAAUCAGUAUCAAAUCAUUCACAUUAUUAAUUCUAUUACUUUUUAAUAUUUUAUAAAGUGAAUUUUUCUAUUUAAAUUUAUGUAAAAACAGGUCACGGCUAGGCUGUCAAAUAGUAAUGUCUAAGGAACUAGAUGGAAUUGAGGUAAGAGUUCCAUCAACAAUUAAUGAUGCAAGAGCAUAACUGAAAUUAUCUAUAGGUUUUUGAAAAUUUGUAUACAAUGUUAUACAUCUCUUGUUAAAAAACCCUUGUUAUAAUUAUUAAAAUAUUGGUAUUAAAAAAAUAUAAUAAAGAAUCUUGUGUUUAAAUGUGAAGCUUAUAUAUAUACAUAUGUUAUAGUAUAAUUGCAAUUUUGAUAUUUGUACAUUGCCAUUGUAAAAAGCCUAUCCAAUUAUGAAGAAAAUAUAUCUUUUAUUUUUAAUAUA